rnacentral:rRNA from 1 species
CUAGCGGCAGGCCUAACACAUGCAAGUCGAGGGGUAACAUUGGUGCUUGCACCAGAUGACGACCGGCGCACGGGUGCGUAACGCGUAUACAAUCUACCUUUUGCUAAGGGAUAGCCCAGAGAAAUUUGGAUUAAUACCUUAUAGUAUGCAGACUUCUCAUGGAGAUUGCAUUAAAGAUUACGGCAAAAGAUGAGUAUGCGUCCUAUUAGUUUGUUGGUGUGGUAACGGCACACCAAGACUACGAUAGGUAGGGGCCCUGAGAGGGGGAUCCCCCACACUGGUACUGAGACACGGACCAGACUCCUACGGGAGGCAGCAGUGAGGAAUAUUGGACAAUGGAGGCAACUCUGAUCCAGCCAUGCCGCGUGCAGGAAGACUGCCCUAUGGGUUGUAAACUGCUUUUAUACAGGAAGAAACACUCCCUCGUGAGGGAGCUUGACGGUACUGUAAGAAUAAGGAUCGGCUAACUCCGUGCCAGCAGCCGCGGUAAUACGGAGGAUCCAAGCGUUAUCCGGAAUCAUUGGGUUUAAAGGGUCCGUAGGUGGAUAAUUAAGUCAGAGGUGAAAGUUUGCAGCUCAACUGUAAAAUUGCCUUUGAUACUGGUUAUCUUGAGUUAUUGUGAAGUAGUUAGAAUAUGUAGUGUAGCGGUGAAAUGCAUAGAUAUUACAUAGAAUACCAAUUGCGAAGGCAGAUUACUAACAAUAUACUGACACUGAUGGACGAAAGCGUGGGUAGCGAACAGGAUUAGAUACCCUGGUAGUCCACGCCGUAAACGAUGGAUACUAGCUGUUGGGCUUCGGCUCAGUGGCUAAGCGAAAGUGAUAA